GAAUAAAAUUAAAAUAAAUAGAGGAGUGUUUUAAUGAGUGCAGCAGUGAAAGCGGGAUUAGAGGGGCCUGAAUGGCAUCUCUAUUUCCCGUAUGGAAAGGAGUGCUGCCCGGUGCAACCAGAGCUGACAAAAAAAAUUAGCUGGGCCUCAGGCUCAGAGAAACAUUUGGCAAGAAAGGAAAGAAGGUAAUUGCUGCAAAUGGAGACUAAUUCAGGAAGCAGCCAGCUCUACACAGGGCCGGUUCUUUUGCAGCUAGAGUGCUGCGGACGCUUUGUGAAGGCUGGGCUGAAAAAAACACACUGAAAUCUCAGAGUAAGAAAAAAUAAAGACAAAAAAAAUCAACAAAUCUGUCCUUCCUGUGGCUCACACAUGUUCAGCAUUUCUUUUCUUCUCACUCCCAAAGGAUGCCAGGGGUCCUAGCCAGCCUUGCCUUCUCUGGUCCGUCCGAUGGCACAGAGGGAGUCUCUACUAGCAUAGACAGCCUGCACCUUCUAAAUGGAGGCCUCUGCUGGAUGACACCACCAUCACUAAAAAAAAACAGGUGCCUUACAAGUAAUCACAGCCAAGAAGUCCCUGCCUUGACCUACUGAAGCUACAGGACCAAACUCAAGUUAGACCUCAGCUGCUGUAGACUCUGCUUCUCCGGCCCCUGCCCAGGUGAUUCUUGUCUGCUGGCUCCGACACUGCCUGUCUUGUUCCACGCAUUGUGCCACCACAUCCCAUCUUCCAUGAAACACAUCUCCCUUUUGGGUCUGGAAGCUCCUUCGCCAUUCUCCCUUGUGUACACGGCCAGCUGUGGCCCAUGGAGGUGCAACCUCACUCGUGACCAGCCAAGAAGCAGACAGCAGAAACAGGCAGGGAGCACGGGCUUCCUUAAUACAGAGCCUCUCUCCAGUUAGACAUGUGAAAUUCAGCCCUCACUGAGGCCCCUAGGAAUUUGCCAUCACUAUCCAAAAAUGGGAGGUUUUCGCCCCAAGACACGUAGCAGAGUAAGUCAUACGAAGCAAAUGUGAUCAGAGGUUGGCAUAUUUAAAGGUGACUUAAGGAUCCCGACACUCAAUUCUCAUGAAAAUAAAUGGGAAGCAGUAGGCA
rnacentral:lncRNA from 1 species